AGAGACAGCAGUAGCCGCGGUAAUACGUAUGUCACAAGCGUUAUCCGGAUUUAUUGGGCGUAAAGCGCGUCUAGGUGGUUAUGUAAGUCUGAUGUGAAAAUGCAGGGCUCAACUCUGUAUUGCGUUGGAAACUGUGUAACUAGAGUACUGGAGAGGUAAGCGGAACUACAAGUGUAGAGGUGAAAUUCGUAGAUAUUUGUAGGAAUGCCGAUGGGGAAGCCAGCUUACUGGACAGAUACUGACGCUAAAGCGCGAAAGCGUGGGUAGCAAACAGGAUUAGAUACCCCUGUAGUCCCUGUCUCUUAUACA
rnacentral:rRNA from 1 species